GGCCCAGUGGUAGCACGCCAGGCUCAUAUCCUGGAGGGCGCAAGUUCGAGCCCG
rnacentral:tRNA from 1 species